GAUUUUAAAAGGAUAUACACAAUAUACAUUAUACAUUAUAUCCGGUACAUAAUCAAAAGCUACAUAAUAAAAAGGCAAUACUUAAACAUUUAAAUGCAGGUCUUCCCCUUGCGCCUUCAUCUUGGGUAAUCUGGGACAGCCUCUCUCAGUUCACCAUGGCCCUGCUUGCUGCGUUGUCCUCUCCAAAGAGAGAGAAAGAGAGAGAGCCUUCCUUGGAUGUUGUCCUUUUAAAGACUGAUUCUUGGAGUAAUAAACUACAAGUCCCAGAAUCCCUU